rnacentral:rRNA from 1 species
GCGAAAGAGGGGGUAACCCCUAAGUAGAGUGGCGAACGGGUGAGUAACGCGCGAAGAACCAGCCUUCAACAGGGGGAUAACACUCCCAACGGGGUGCUAAUACCGCAUGAGACCACGGAGCUGCAUGGCUCUGAGGUCAAAGGUGGCCUCUAUUUAUAAGCUACCGGUUGAAGAUGGCUUCGCGUCCCAUUAGCUAGUUGGCGGUGUAAAAGACCACCAAGGCGACGAUGGGUAGCUGGUCUGAGAGGAUGGUCAGCCACACUGGGACUGAGAUACGGCCCAGACUCCUACGGGAGGCAGCAGUCGAGAGGCUUCGGCAAUGGGGGAAACCCUGACCGAGCGACGCCGCGUGGGGGAUGAAGGCCCUUGGGUUGUAAACCCCUUUUGUUCGGGAAGAAACACGAUCAGGUGAAUAAUCUGGUCGUUUGACGGUACCGGGCGAAUAAGCUCCGGCUAACUCCAUGCCAGCAGCCGCGGUAACACGGGGGGAGCAAGCGUUGUUCGGAAUUACUGGGCGUAAAGGGCGUGUAGGCGGUCAAGUAAGUGGGAUGUGAAAUGCUUCGGCUUACCCGGAGUACUGCAUCCCAAACUGCUUGGCUUGAGUAUGGGAGAGGAUGAGGGAAUUCCUGGUGUAGCGGUGAAAUGCGUAGAUAUCAGGAGGAACACCGGUGGCGAAGGCGCUCAUCUGGCCCAAUACUGACGCUGAGGCGCGAAAGCUAGGGGAGCAAACGGGGUUAGAUACCCCGGUAGUCCUAGCCGUAAACGGUGAGCACUAGGUGUUGGAGGCAUCGACCCCUCCAGUGCCGUAGCUAACGCACUAAGUGCUCCGCCUGGGGAGUACGGCCGCAAGGUUGAAACUCAAAGGAAUUGACGGGGGCUCACACAAGCGGUGG